GGGGGCUUAAUGGUUAAAAGCACUGGCUGUUCUUCCAGGUGACCUGGGUUAAAUUCCCAGCCCCCA
rnacentral:tRNA from 1 species